rnacentral:lncRNA from 1 species
ACCAUAUGCUUCUCUGCUGUCCUUAGCUGCUCCCUUUACAGCACAGUCCAUGCUUCUCCACUCUCCCCAGCUGCUCCUUAUCCCCACAGCAUAUGCUCUCCACUGUCCCCAGCUGCUCCAUAUCACCACAGCAUAUGCUUCUCCACUCUCCCCAGCCUGCUCCUUAUCCCCACAGCAUAUGCUUCUCUGCCCUCCCCAGCUGCUCCUUACCCACCACACCAUAUGCUUCUCUGCUGUCCUUAGCUGCUCCCUUUACAGCACAGUCCAUGAUUCUCCACUCUCCCCUGCUGCUCCUUAUCCACCACAGCAUAUGCUUCUCCACUGUCCCCAGCUGCUCCAUAUCCACCACAGCAUAUGCUUCUCCACUCUCCCCAGCUGCUCCUUACCCACCACAGCAUAUGCUUCUCCACUGUCCCCAGCUGCUCCAUAUCCGCCACAGCAUAUGCUUCUCCACUGUCCCCAGCUGCUCCUUACCCACCACAGCAUAUGCUUCUCCACUGUCCCCAGCUGCUCCUUAUCCACCACAGCAUAUGCUUCUCCACUGUCCCCAGCUGCUCCUUAUCCACCACACCAUAUGCUUCUCCACUCUCCCCAGCUGCUCCAUAUCCGCCAGAGCAUAUGCUUCUCCACUCUCCCCAGCUGCUCCUUAUCCGCCACAGCAUAUGCUUCUCCACUGUCCCCAGCUGCUCCUUAUCCACCAAAGCAUAUGCUCUCCACUGUCCCCAGCUGCUCCAUAUCCGCCACAGCAUAUGCUUCUCCACUGUCCCCAGCUGCUUCCUUAUCCGCCACAGCAUAUGCUUCUCCACUGUCCCAAGCUGCUCCUUAUCCGCCACAGCAUAUGCUUCUCCACUUUUUUUUUUUUUGCCCGUUUCUUUAUUUUUUUAUGUAUUUAUUUUAUUUUUUUAAUGUUUCUAUUUAUUUUUGA